UACGAAGGGGGCUAGCGUUGCUCGGAAUCACUGGGCGUAAAGCGCACGUAGGCGGACUCUUAAGUCGGUGGUGAAAUCCUGGAGCUCAACUCCAGAACUGCCUUCGAUACUGAAGAGCUCGAGUCCGGGAGAGGUGAGUGGAACUGCGAGUGUAGAGGUGAAAUUCGUAGAUAUUCGCAAGAACACCAGUGGCGAAGGCGGCUCACUGGCCCGGUACUGACGCUGAGGUGCGAAAGCGUGGGGAGCAAACAGG
rnacentral:rRNA from 1 species